CGCUCAGUAGUAGAGGGUUGGUUAUAAGCAUUCCUGGAAAUGAGGCCUAAUUUAGGUAUGCCUACUAUGUAAAGACUUACUCCUAGCCAGUUGGACAAAGGGAGAAAGGAAAGGAGGUAAAGAAGUGUGGACAGGGAAAAACGAAAAACCUGAAGCAUGAUUAAGUAGAUCUAUAGGUGGUACAUUAGUGGUCCUCCCUGUUACCCAUGGCUAGAACAGGCCUUGACAGUGUGUGCAUCCUAAAGGAGGCAUCAUUCUGCAGUCAAGGGCACCCAUAUGGGUUAUAGACUCAGCUCCUGGGAAGAAACAAAGGCCCUCUGUAAGGCCAGUCUUAGAACUCUGAGCCUAUUUCGGUAACAAAGAAUUUCACCUAAAAUUACAAAAGAUGACUUAAUAUGGAAGUGUGUCUUUUAUAGAUGUGGUAUAUGUGGAAGCCAAGUUUAGUCUCUUUUGAUAUUUAAACUGAAUAGAAGUUUCUCUUUGGAACCAUGCCACACUUGGAGCUUUAUCUCCAUGCUGCGGUGAACUCUUAUUUCACAUUAGAGGUCUACUGGUUUGCAGCCCGAUCGAAUGGAAAGGAAUAGAUUCUGAGUCAGAAUAUAAAGGAUGUAAGAACAAUGUAAAAAAAUGGCCAAAGUGGGUUAAAAAUUCUAUGCCGUUCUCUUCAAGUCUAAGUCUUUUAGUUCUGAUUAAAAAGAUCACAGAGAAUGAAUUACUUAGAUCCCUUCCUAAGGGGCUUGCUAGCUUAGAGACCACACUGAUAAAAACCAGGAAGAUUAACUACACUCCAUUUCUGAUAUGUGGCCCAGACUCCCUUUGGGUGAAUGAUGGAGUCAGGCUUUGGUUACAAAGAUCACCGACUAAGAUUUUUCAGGUGUGGACAGGUAAGAAUAAGCAAGAAUAAUGUACAUGAUGUAUCCAAUUGUGAUCUUUCUUUAUGUAUGUAACUCUAUGAAAAUAAUGAUAUAAAUAUGUAUACUUGUUUAUAUUAAUUUAUUGGAAUAAAAGUGGGAAAACAUUAAAAAAUACUCACACCAAGGCAGAGUAAAUUUUAUAAUCAUCAAACUUUGAUCAAUACAUUUAAUAGAAAUUUAUUUUUCUCAUCAUGACUAACUAGAAAAUAAACUCUCCAAUCAGUUUGAGUUUCCAUUUUUGCUCAGAACCUUUCAGUGCACCUGGGUGGCUCAGUUGGUUAAGCUUCUGACUGUUGAUUUCAGCUCAGGUCAUGAUCAUGGUUUGUGAGUUCAAGCCCCGAAUUGGGCUCUGCCCUGAUAGUGUGAAGCCUGCUUGGGAUUCUGUCUCUGCCUUUCUCUCUGUCUCUGUCUCUGUCAAAAAUAAAUAAACUUAAAAAAUCAAAAAAGUUUUCCAUUCUGCUCAGUCAUUACAUACACUGGAAGACUUUAGAGCAAUAGGAUAUAAACAAUUGUCACUUUGGGGGCACAUGGUUGACUCAGUCAGUUAAGCAUCUGACUUCAGCUCAGUUCAUGAUCUCACAGUUUGUGGGUUUGAGCCCCACAUCGGGCUCUGUGCUGACAGCUCAGAGCCUGGAGCCUGCUUCAGAUUCUGUGUCUCCCUCCCUCUCUGCCCCUCCCCUGCUUGGGCUCUGUCUCUCUUUCUCUCUCAAAAAUGAAUAAACUUAAACAAAUUUUUUUUAAAUAAAUAAAAAGAAAAAAAAUUGUCAUUUUGGUCUAUUGUGGCUUCAAGUAACAAAGCCUAUUUUAUUUGCUAACUUUAAUUACUGUGGAUGGUUUCUUAUCUGUGCUUGCCACUGGCUAAUCUUGUCCUUCUUGUCAUGGUCUCAGAUGACACUGGCUGACAUUCAGAAGACAUUGGAUAUCUUCUCUUCUAGGGCUUGGAAUUUUUCUACCCAGCUAAGAAGGCAACAACCCCAAGAUCCCUCCAUGGAAAUGGCGCUGAGUGUAUGAUCCUGCAGACAUAUUGCCACCAAGGGAAUACCUGCCUGAGAAGGACCAGAAGGAGAAAGUGGAGCCCAAUACAGAAGGAGUGGGGACCUAACGAUAUACUUUCAGGUGUCUCUCAGGGUCUCAGGUUUCCUAAUUGAAAUGUGCCUAAGCAAUUGAAAUGUGGUACCUCAGUGAAUUACUGUCAGACACCGUAACCUUUCGACCAGUUAGAAUCUUGUUGUGAGAGGAGACCGUGUACGUUGGUGAAAGUUUAGAAAAAAGAAUCCCCCUUAUUCAAUCAACUAACAAAGACCCAUGGAGUACCCCGGUGGGGGCCCCAAAGAAGAUGCAAAGAAGAAAAACACAAUCUUUGCCCUGAAGGAGUCGUCAUCUUUUGAGGAAACAAAACAUCAUGUCAUAGUUAUACUGUAGUGAGCUCAAGCUCUCAAACCCAAUAAAAUAUGGGAUAUUCA